UACAGAGGUCUCAAGCGUUGUUCGGAUUCAUUGGGCGUAAAGGGUGUGUAGGUGGCGCGCUAAGUCGGGUGUGAAAUUUCGGAGCUUAACUCCGAAACUGCAUUCGAUACUGGCGUGCUUGAGGACCGGAGAGGAGACUGGAAUUCAUGGUGUAGCAGUGAAAUGCGUAGAGAUCAUGAGGAAGACCAGUGGCGAAGGCGGGUCUCUGGACAGUUCCUGACACUGAGACACGAAGGCCAGGGGAGCAAACGGG
rnacentral:rRNA from 1 species